rnacentral:rRNA from 1 species
UAUUGGACAAUGGGCGAAAGCCUGAUCCAGCAAUGCCGCGUGAGUGAUGAAGGCCUUAGGGUUGUAAAGCUCUUUUACCCGGGAUGAUAAUGACAGUACCGGGAGAAUAAGCUCCGGCUAACACCGUGCCAGCAGCCGCGGUAAUACGGAGGGAGCUAGCGUUGUUCGGAAUUACUGGGCGUAAAGCGCACGUAGGCGGCUUUGUAAGUUAGAGGUGAAAGCCCGGAGCUCAACUCCAGAAUUGCCUUUGAUACUGCAUCGCUUGAAUCCAGGAGAGGUGAGUGGAAUUCCGAGUGUAGAGGUGAAAUUCGUAGAUAUUCGGAAGAACACCAGUGGCGAAGGCGGCUCACUGGACUGGUAUUGACGCUGAGGUGCGAAG